rnacentral:tRNA from 2 species
AGCGGGGUAGGGUAGUCAGGAUAUCCCGACGGGCUCAUAACCCGUAGACCAGUAGUUCAAAUCUACUCCCCGCUAUCA